rnacentral:rRNA from 1 species
AGUGAACGCUGGCGGUAGGCCUAACACAUGCAAGUCGAACGGCAGCACAGUAAGAGCUUGCUCUUACGGGUGGCGAGUGGCGGACGGGUGAGGAAUACAUCGGAAUCUACUUUUUCGUGGGGGAUAACGUAGGGAAACUUACGCUAAUACCGCAUACGACCUACGGGUGAAAGCAGGGGAUCUUCGGACCUUGCGCGAUUGAAUGAGCCGAUGUCGGAUUAGCUAGUUGGCGGGGUAAAGGCCCACCAAGGCGACGAUCCGUAGCUGGUCUGAGAGGAUGACCCCCCACACUGAACCAGAAACAGGACCCAGCCCACUACGGAGGCCAGCGGGGGGAAAUUGUGGACAAGGGGGACAAUCUUGCACCACAUAUAGCGGGUGGGGAAAAAAGCCUUUGGUUUGAAAACCCCUUUUUGUGGAAAAAAAAAACCAACGGUUUAACCCCCCGUUGUCCUGACGGUACCCAAAAAAAAAGCCCCGGCAAACUCCGCC